ensembl:snoRNA
GUGAUGCAAGUGAUGACUGCAUAGUUCAGCAGAAAAUCCAUGAAGAACACUUAAGCAUAGUCUUUCGCUCCUAGCUGAUGCAUCAC